rnacentral:rRNA from 1 species
GAUGAACGCUGGCGGCGUGCCUAAUACAUGCAAGUCGAGCGAACAGACGAGGGGCUUGCUCCUCUGACGUUAGCGGCGGACGGGUGAGUAACACGUGGAUAACCUACCUAUAAGACUGGGAUAACUUCGGGAAACCGGAGCUAAUACCGGAUAAUAUAUUGAACCGCAUGGUUCAAUAGUGAAAGACGGUUUUGCUGUCACUUAUAGAUGGAUCCGCGCCGCAUUAGCUAGUUGGUAAGGUAACGGCUUACCAAGGCAACGAUGCGUAGCCGACCUGAGAGGGUGAUCGGCCACACUGGAACUGAGACACGGUCCAGACUCCUACGGGAGGCAGCAGUAGGGAAUCUUCCGCAAUGGGCGAAAGCCUGACGGAGCGACGCCGCGUGAGUGAUGAAGGUCUUCGGAUCGUAAAACUCUGUUAUUAGGGAAGAACAAAUGUGUAAGUAACUAUGCACGUCUUGACGGUACCUAAUCAGAAAGCCACGGCUAACUACGUG